GACGAACGCUGGCGGCGUGCUUAACACAUGCAAGUCGAACGGAAAGGCCCUGCUUUUGUGGGGUGCUCGAGUGGCGAACGGGUGAGUAACACGUGAGUAACCUGCCCUUGACUUUGGGAUAACUUCAGGAAACUGGGGCUAAUACCGGAUAGGAGCUCCUGCUGCAUGGUGGGGGUUGGAAAGUUUCGGCGGUUGGGGAUGGACUCGCGGCUUAUCAGCUUGUUGGUGGGGUAGUGGCUUACCAAGGCUUUGACGGGUAGCCGGCCUGAGAGGGUGACCGGCCACAUUGGGACUGAGAUACGGGCCAGACUCCAACGGGAGGCAGCAGUGGGGAGUAUUGCACAAUGAGCGGAAGCGUGAUGCAGCAACGCCGCGUGCGGGAUGACGGCCUUCGGGGUGUGAACCGCUUUCGCCUGUGACGAAGCGUGAGUGACGGUAAUGGGUAAAGAAGCACCGGCUAACUACGUG
rnacentral:rRNA from 1 species